AAGCUGCCUUUUGAAGGGCAACA
rnacentral:miRNA from 1 species